AAUGCAUCAGAACAAGGCAGUGACGUUGCAAUGCAACGAAACUGCCACACCACAACGUAGCCAAGCGUGUAGGCGCGGUCCGCGGGGUGAUAGAAACCUGCCUCGCUAUCAACAACGUUAGGGCAGGUCGUGGGGGUGUUUGACGAGCCUCCACGAACUGUGCCGCUGGAUAACAAUGGACCAACGAAGUGAAACGUUGGGCAGACGUUUUGAUCAUUGUUUGCUGCUUGUUUAGCUCAAUAUUGCACAGUAUGGCAAGUUCGUUGUAAUUUGGUAAUUUGUGGGCAUUUUUUCAACGUGUUGUAGAUAAAAGUACUGCAUUUUUUGCGAAUUCAUGUCAUUUAAGCCCCAAAAAUUGUGUCGAAGUAUUCGCAGGUAAAGUUUUGCGAAAGAAUACGCGUUUUGCUGUGAAAUUGGCCGCAUUUCCGCGUACGACUUGUUAUAAUUUGAGCCGUAAUGAAUUAUGCUGCGCGAUUCUAGUCGCUGUUUGUCGUCGUAAGCUCAUUGGAGGCCGCAUUUUUUGAGUAAGUUGCACCUUGGCCUGGCUAAGUUUUAAACAUCCACCGCAAUAUUUUCUGGCAUAGUGGUCAGUGAAUUGGUGUAUUUUUUGGAUUGUGGCAAAAUUGCCAAAUAUGUCGCGGUAGGCCUAGAGAUAGGCUAAUACUUAGUUCAAUAUCCUGCUAGACAAGUGAGUGUUUGAGAACGUGGUCGCAAUUGGCUGUAAUUUGGCGACUUUGGUUUGGCGAUAGUAUUGCGAAUUGACGGUUUUGGUUGGUGAUAGCAUCAUCUUUUCUGACAUAGUGUGACAUAAGCCGUGACCAUAAGUGACUUUUACUAUCGCUUUCUAAAAAGAUUUGUCAUGAACCCCGAAAGAGAUCCCGAUAAUGACGACGCAGUGGAGCUGGACGAAAAUGGAUGGCGAAGAAUAAGGAGGUAAAAAGCUCUAGUUAAAAAGUUGCAAAGCUAAGCAGCUGAAAAUUUUUUUUUUGCUUUUGUCGUAUAAAUUGCCAUUAGUGGUAGCGAGCCAGAAGUGGUUUACACGCUCCAACCUGUUGUUUUUCUUUUUCUGUCGCAGAGAACCGCCGACAGAGUCGGAUGUAUUUCGCGUUUUUGUAUGCCAAUUGUCGAAAGUGUCGCAUGCGCAUAUUUUUGUCUAAUAUUUUGUUAAUUUUGCGCAGACAGAAAAUUCACCUCGAAAACGGAGACGACACCGUAAGCUCGUCUUUGUAAAAAUGCUGCUUUUGAUUCGAGGCAAAAGGCCAGUACGUGUGCCUUUUGGGAAUUUCUUGUCGUUAGUUUUUGUUUAUUUUUAUUUUUGGUAUUGCUUUGAUUUUUUUUUGUAAAGGGUCAAAGUUCCUAAUAUUAUACUGUUAUUUUUGAAAUGUUAUUUUUUCCUAAUAAUGUUUUUGUUUUGUAAUGUUUUU